AAAUUGAAGAGUUUGAUCAUGGCUCAGAUUGAACGCUGGCGGCAGGCCUAACACAUGCAAGUCGAACGGUAACAGGAAGCAGCUUGCUGCUUCGCUGACGAGUGGCGGACGGGUGAGUAAUGUCUGGGAAACUGCCUGAUGGAGGGGGAUAACUACUGGAAACGGUAGCUAAUACCGCAUAAUGUCGCAAGACCAAAGAGGGGGACCUUCGGGCCUCUUGCCAUCGGAUGUGCCCAGAUGGGAUUAGCUUGUUGGUGGGGUAACGGCUCACCAAGGCGACGAUCCCUAGCUGGUCUGAGAGGAUGACCAGCCACACUGGAACUGAGACACGGUCCAGACUCCUACGGGAGGCAGCAGUGGGGAAUAUUGCACAAUGGGCGCAAGCCUGAUGCAGCCAUGCCGCGUGUAUGAAGAAGGCCUUCGGGUUGUAAAGUACUUUCAGCGGGG
rnacentral:rRNA from 1 species